GAAAAGCCAAAAAGUGCAAUGACUCUUCUGGAUUUGUAUUACAAAUCAGUCGGUAGAAACUGUCCCUUAUUGCUAAAUGUACCGCCUAACUCAUCCGGUCUCAUAUCAGACGAAGAUAUACAUGUCCUCAAAGAGUUCUCCGAGCUUCGUAAUUCUAUAUUCUCCCAUAAUCUUGCAAAAUCUGCCCUUCUUUCUGCCAGCAGUAUACGAGGAGAUUCGAAUGAUACUCAGUUUAGCCCCAAGAAUGUAAUUGAGGAAGGAUUACAUACAUAUUGGGCUCCAGAUCAGGGACAACAAUCAGACUGGACACUAUAUUUACAAUUUCAACAGGUUAUAACUUUCAACGUCUUGGGACUUCAAGAACCAAUUCAAAUGGGGCAGCGUAUUAUCGAGUUUCAUCUUGACAUGUUAGAUGAAAAUGGAAAAUGGCAACAUGUGGUAAAUGGAACGACAGUAGGAUAUCGGAGGCUGUUACUUUUUCCUACAGUGAAAUCUCACCUACUAAGGUUGGUUAUCGACAAGUCCAAGGUGCUCCCUCUAAUCUCUCACUUGGGAAUUUACAUGGAUUCGUAUACUGUUCCACGACAUGUCUCUGAUGAUACACAUAUGAAAUCAAAGUUCAUCAACAACUUAUUUUUCAGAAGAACUGCAUAUAACCAGUCUCAAUCUGCUUCCAUCUAAUCUUCGUCGAGCAGCUUUGAGUGUACAAUGCAUCAUCUUCUUUUUUUGGUUUUUCUGAUGCUUUUUCAUGUUGAUUCUUCUUCAAUUUCAGUUGUUGUAACAUAAAGUUUAUAUAACACAAACUCACAUUAGUUUGGAGCAACUUUCAAUGUACUGGA
rnacentral:misc_RNA from 1 species